UACAGGGGGGGCAAGCGUUGUUCGGAAUUACUGGGCGUAAAGGGCUUGUAGGUGGCCAACUAAGUCACACGUGAAAUCCCCAGGCUUAACCUGGGAACUGCGUGUGAUACUGGAUGGCUUGAAUUCGGGAGAGGGAUGCAGAAUUCCAGGUGUAGCGGUGAAAUGCGUAGAUAUCUGGAGGAAUACCGGUGGCGAAGGCGGCAUCCUGGACCGACAUUGACGCUGAGGAGCGAAAGCUAGGGGAGCAAACGGG
rnacentral:rRNA from 1 species